UACAGAGGGUGCAAGCGUUGUUCGGAAUUAUUGGGCGUAAAGGGCGCGUAGGCGGUGCGGUAAGUCUUUUGUGAAAUCUCCGGGCUCAACUCGGAGUCUGCAAGAGAAACUGCCGUGCUGGAGUAUGGGAGAGGUGAGUGGAAUUCCCGGUGUAGCGGUGAAAUGCGUAGAUAUCGGGAGGAACAUCAGUGGCGAAGGCGGCUGCCUGGCCCAAUACUGACACUCAGGUGCGACAGCGUGGGGAGCAAACAGG
rnacentral:rRNA from 1 species